CAAAAACAUGACUCUGAUCGGCGUCCUCAUCUGGACUCUCCUCUGCUGCUGCUUCACAGAGUCCAGAGGCCAGAUCACAGUGACUCAGCCUGGAGCAGUGAGGUCUGCUCUGGGAGAGUCCGUCACCAUCAACUGUAAGACCAGUCCAGAGGCUUAUGGUGGGAGCGUUUUAAACUGGUACCAACAGAAAGAUGGAGAAACUCCUAAACUGCUCAUUUACUAUGCUGACACUCGAGAAUCAGGGAUUCCAGAUCGUUUUACAGGCAGUGGAUCAAACACUGACUUCACUCUGACCAUCAGUGGAGUCCAGACUGAAGAUGCAGCAGUUUACUACUGUCAGAGUUUUCAUUAUAUCAACAGUCAGGUUGUGUUCACUUUUGGUGGAGGAACCAGACUGGAUGUUAACUUCAUCUCCACCCUGACGGUGCUGCCCCCCUCCAGGAAGGAGCUCCAGCAGGGGAAGGCCACGCUCAUGUGUCUGGCCAACAAGGGCUUCCCCUCAGGCUGGACUCUGUCCUGGAAGGUGGACAUGUCAAGGAUCAACUAUCCAAUCAUCUCUGUUUACUGA